rnacentral:rRNA from 1 species
AAUGCAAGUCGAACGAUGAUGCCCACUUGUGGGUGGAUUAGUGGCGAACGAGUGAGUAACACGUGAGUAACCUGCCCUUGACUCUGGGAUAAGCCUGGGAAACUGGGUCUAAUACCGGAUAUGACCUUCCAUCGCAUGGUGGUUGGUGGAAAGCUUUUGUGGUUUUGGAUGGACUCGCGGCCUAUCAGCUUGUUGGUGGGGUAAUGGCCUACCAAGGCGACGACGGGUAGCCGGCCUGAGAGGGUGACCGGCCACACUGGGACUGAGACACGGCCCAGACUCCUACGGGAGGCAGCAGUGGGGAAUAUUGCACAAUGGGCGGAAGCCUGAUGCAGCGACGCCGCGUGAGGGAUGACGGCCUUCGGGUUGUAAACCUCUUUCAGUAGGGAAGAAGCGUAAGUGACGGUACCUGCAGAAGAAGCGCCGGCUAACUACGUGCCAGCAGCCGCGGUAAUACGUAGGGCGCAAGCGUUAUCCGGAAUUAUUGGGCGUAAAGAGCUCGUAGGCGGUUUGUCGCGUCUGCCGUGAAAGUCCGGGGCUCAACUCCGGAUCUGCGGUGGGUACGGGCAGACUAGAGUGAUGUAGGGGAGACUGGAAUUCCUGGUGUAGCGGUGAAAUGCGCAGAUAUCAGGAGGAACACCGAUGGCGAAGGCAGGUCUCUGGGCAUUAACUGACGCUGAGGAGCGAAAGCAUGGGGAGCGAACAGGAUUAGAUACCCUGGUAGUCCAUGCCGUAAACGUUGGGCACUAGGUGUGGGGGACAUUCCACGUUUUCCGCGCCGUAGCUAACGCAUUAAGUGCCCCGCCUGGGGAGUACGGCCGCAAGGCUAAAACUCAAAGGAAUUGACGGGGGCCGCACAAGCGGCGGAGCAUGCGGAUUAUUCGAUGCAACGCGAAGAACCUUACCAAGGCUUGACAUGAACCGGAAAGGCCUGGAACAGUCCCCACUUGGGUC